UACGUAGGGUGCAAGCGUUGUCCGGAAUUAUUGGGCGUAAAGAGCUUGUAGGCGGUUUGUCGCGUCUGCUGUGAAAUUUCGGGGCUCAACCCCGAACUUGCAGUGGGUACGGGCAGACUAGAGUGUGGUAGGGGAGACUGGAAUUCCUGGUGUAGCGGUGAAAUGCGCAGAUAUCAGGAGGAACACCCGUGGCGAAGGCGGCUCCCUGGUCCGUUUCUGACGCUGAGACGCGAAAGCGCGGGGAGCGAACGGG
rnacentral:rRNA from 1 species